rnacentral:rRNA from 1 species
GUCCAUGCUGUAAACUAUGAGAACUUGCUGUUGGAUGCAUAAAGGCAUUUAGUAGCGAAGCUAACGCGUUAAGUUCUCCGCCUGGGGAGUAACGGCCGCAAGGCUAAAAACUCAAAGGAAUUGACGGGGGCCCCGCACAAGCGGUGGAGCAUGUGGUUUAAUUCGAUGCAACGCGAAGAACCUUACCUACUCUUGAAUCCACGGAAUCCUGCAGAGAUGCGGGAGUGCCUUCGGGAACCGUGAGACAGGUGCUGCAUGGCUGUCGU